rnacentral:tRNA from 1 species
GCCGGGGUGGCGGAAUGGGCAGACGCGCCAGACUUAGGAUCUGGUGCCGCAAGGCGUGCAGGUUCGAAUCCUGUCCCCGGCA